rnacentral:rRNA from 1 species
GACGUAGGGCGCGAGCGUUGUCCGGAUUUAUUGGGCGUAAAGAGCUCGUAGGCGGCCUGUUGCGUCCGCUGUGAAAGCCCGGGGCUUAACUCCGGGUCUGCAUUCGAUACGGGCAGACUAGAGUGUGGUAGGGGAGAUCGGAAUUCCUGGUGUAGCGGUGAAAUGCGCAGAUAUCAGGAGGAACACCGGUGGCGAAGGCGGAUCUCUGGGCCAUUACUGACGCUGAGGAGCGAAAGCGUGGGGAGCGAACAGG